GACGAACGCUGGCGGCGUGCUUAACACAUGCAAGUCGAACGGAAAGGCCCUGCUUUCAGGGUUCUCGAGUGGCGAACGGGUGAGUAACUCGUGGGUGAUCUGCCUUGCACUUCGGGUUAAGCCUGGUAAGGUGGGUCUAAUACCUGAUAGGAGCCAUUUUUAGUGUGAUGGUUGGAAAGUUUUUUCGGUGUUGGAUGAGUUCUCUGCCUAUCAGCUUGUUGGUGGGGGAAUGGCCUACCAAGGCGGCUUCGGGUAGCCGGCCUGUGAGGGUGGACGGCCACAUUGGGACUGAGAUAAGGCCGAGACACCGACGGGAGGAAGAAGGGGGGAAGAUUGCACAAUCGGCGCAAGCCUGAUGCAGAGACGCCGCGUGGGGGAUGACGGCCUUAGGGUUGUAAAAUAAUUGCGUAAGGGACGAAGCAUUUUGUGACGGUACCUAGAUAAGAAGCACCGGCUAACUACGUG
rnacentral:rRNA from 1 species